rnacentral:rRNA from 1 species
GAUGAACGCUGGCGGCGUGCCUAAUACAUGCAAGUCGAGCGAACAGACGAGGAGCUUGCUCCUCUGACGUUAGCGGCGGACGGGUGAGUAACACGUGGAUAACCUACCUAUAAGACUGGGAUAACUUCGGGAAACCGGAGCUAAUACCGGAUAAUAUAUUGAACCGCAUGGUUCAAUAGUGAAAGACGGUUUUGCUGUCACUUAUAGAUGGAUCCGCGCCGCAUUAGCUAGUUGGUAAGGUAACGGCUUACGAAGGCAACGAUGCGUAGCCGACCUGAGAGGGUGAUCGCCCACCCUGGAACUUAGCCGCGGUCCAGACUCCUGCGGGAGGCAGCAGUAGGGAAUCUUCCGCAAUGGGCGAAAGCCUGACGGAGCAACGCCGCGUGAGUUAUGACGGUCUUCGGAUCGUAAAACUCUGUUAUUAGGGAAGAACAAAUGUGUAAGUAACUAUGCACGUCUUGACGGUACCUAAUCAGAAAGCCCCGGCUAACUACGUG